rnacentral:rRNA from 1 species
GGCCUUUUGGUUUAUAAAUAUAAAAGGUCUGACCUGCCCAGUGACUAUAUGUUAAACGGCUGCGGUACCCUGACCGUGAAAAGGUAGCAUAAUCAUUUGCCUUUUAAUUAGAGGCUGGAAUGAACGGUUUGACGAGAACUAAGCUGUCUCUUUAAAAAUAUUAAAAAAUUAACUUUUAGGUGAAGAGGCCUAAAUUUUGUUGGGGGACAAGAAGACCCUAUUGAGCUUUAGUGAUUUUCUGGGUUUAGGAAGUUUUGUAUUCCGGGAAAAAUCUUUGAUUGGGGCGAUUCAGGAAUAAGUAAAACUUCCCUGUUUGAUUGUGGACAUUCAAGUUUUGAUCCAAUAUUAUUGAUUAAAGGAAAAAGUUACCGUAGGGAUAACAGCGUAAUCUUCUUGGAGAGUUGAUAUCGAAAAGUGGGUUUGCGACCUCGAUGUUGGACUAAGAUAUCCUGAGGGCGCAAGAGCUUCAAGGGUUGGUC